GCCAGGUGUGGUGGUGCGUGCCUGUAAUCCCAGCUACUCAGGAGGCUGAGGCAUGAGAAUCACUUGAACCCAGGAGUGGCAGGUUGCAGUGAGCCAAGAUCAUGCCACUGCACUCCAGCCUGGGUAACAGAGUGAGACUCUGUCUCAA
rnacentral:SRP_RNA from 2 species